UUUUAAUGAUGGGACAAGGAGUCUUCUGUUUCGACGGUGUUUCAGUGGAAAUGGCCUUUUCUUCACACUUUUGAAGGAUUGUUGUGACGUCGUACCUGUAGCAUCACUUCUACCCGCUUGAAUUUGGUGCGGAAUCUCUUGUGGCGAUUUCUUGGCUUGAUGGCGUUUGCUCACAGCUUUCGAUCAACUGUGUGCUUUGAAAUUCGGCUUUGAUGUUACUGAGGCGGAGCUAAACUGAGUCAACAGCAGAGUGUUUUGUGUGGAUUGCGAAAAUUCAUAGAUGCUCGUUGUAAGUUGUUGAAAUUUCUUAAGGGGUGGAGUUGUUUGUGAGGUUUCUCAUGUAGCGGAGUGUGCUUUUCGAUCGCGGAUGGCUUUUUGAGCGGAAACGUGACUUAGGGUUUUGCAAAUUUGCCCUGCAGAAUUUCCAGCUAAGGAAAUAGGGAUUGAAUAGUCGUCAGUGCGUGGCCUACGGCUGUUUGGGAAAUAAGCUCCAUUUGAGGUUUCCGGGAUGGAUCAACUCCAGAAUUAUUUCUCUGCGCUUGCAUUAUUUAGAGACGAUGAAGUGGCGGAGCAGAAAAGCCCUCAGAAGAACAAAGGUGCUACGCUGAGCAAGAGCGCGGCGACGACUCCUGCCUAUUUGAAGAAGAAGGGUGGAGGAAAGGGGAAGAAAGAAGGGGGCUCAGAGGAUGCCGAUGUGACGCUCAUGCAAAUGCCACUGGUUUGGAUUGAUCUAGAGAUGUCGGGGCUAGACAUCGAGAAAGACAGGAUAUUGGAGAUUGCGUGUAUCGUAACAGAUGGCAAGUUGGAGAAGAUAGUUGAGGGCCCAGUCAUAGUGAUCUCGCAGCCUGAAGAUGUCCUGCAAGGUAUGGGGGAAUGGUGUCAAGAACACCACGCUGCAAGCGGGCUGACGGAUAGCGUCCGGGCAAGCACAGUAACAGAAGAUCAAGCUCAGCAAGAAGUGUUGGAGUUUCUACGCAAGCACACCAGAGGGAAUUCUGGACAAUCCAUGCUCGCUGGAAACUCAAUAUACGUGGAUCUAAAGUUCUUAAAGAAAUACAUGCCCAUUUUAGCGGCGGAAUUUUCCCCAGUAUUGGUGGAUGUGAGCAGCAUCCGAGCGCUCUGUGUGCGUUGGUACCCGAGAGAGGCUGAAAAACAACCGCCAAAGAAACAGCAGCACCGUUCAUUAGAAGAUAUCAAGGAGAGUAUUGCAGAGCUCAAGUAUCUGCGGCGCAGCAUCUUCAAGUAAUCGCAGUAAGUACACCUCUCUGGUGAGAAGGCCAUGGAAUCUGCUCUCGGGCAGGAAUAUGGAGCUUGCAACAGCGACAGCGAAUUUUUGCUUUCUCCUUUCCAAAAUUCUUCUGCACGUUGAUUGGAUCUAUUAGCUGAUGAUGAACUAAUAGAACCGUGGACGCCGGCCAAUAUACAGCUCAAAAUUCAUUCUGUACGAUUCCGUAGAGACCAAACCCCACUUUUGAUGGACAUCUGCAAUGUAUCCGACAAAGCAGUGACGGUCGGUGUCGCGAACUUCAAUCUGUAACUGCAAGUCGUCUCCAGUGAGGCAUGUCUUCUGCCAUCAGUAUAUGGUAGUUCAUUAGGCUAUGUUGCUCUGUCUCAUCAGCUUUUACUACCCUCGUGUACAUGUUCAUGGCACUUCCAUCUGCCAUGUCAUUAUUGUGAAGAUACUGAAGGUAUCUAUCACAAUCAGAUGCAGUGUCUCACUUUUAAUUGGUUGAAUUUGAAUCCUACAUUCUGAUUCAGAAGACAAGUUGACAGUGUGGAGCACACGACUAUUUCAGAAGUUAACUCGGAAGAUGCAGUGUGGCGGAUUGCUGAAUUUCAAGGUAUAGGUAGCGACGAAGGUUUGAACCAAUCAUCCACCAGUCCAACAUCUAAGGAAACAACAUUUUGUGAAAUUGGUGUCGAAACUCUUACCAACAAGGACAUAGAAUCUCUACAGAUUCAUUUGGUCGAGCGUGUGACAGAACAAUUCCUCUGCAGUGUUUGCCACAUUCGGCUCAUUCCACCCUGUUCUAAACUUCACAUGAUACUCUCAGAAAACAAAUUGAGGUUGCUUGACUUGGGUACCCUCAAAAUCUUCCUUCUGUCUCA